GAUGAACGCUGGCGGCGUGCCUAAUACAUGCAAGUCGAGCGAACAGACGAGGAGCUUGCUCCUCUGACGUUAGCGGCGGACGGGUGAGUAACACGUGGAUAACCUACCUAUAAGACUGGGAUAACUUCGGGAAACCGGAGCUAAUACCGGAUAAUAUAUUGAACCGCAUGGUUCAAUAGUGAAAGACGGUUUUGCUGUCACUUAUAGAUGGAUCCGCGCCGCAUUAGCUAGUUGGUAAGGUAACAGCUUACCAAGGCAAUGAUGCGUAGCCGACCUGAGAGGGUGAACGGCCAAAAUGGAAAUGAGAAAAGGGCCAAAACCCUAAGGGGAGCAGCAGUAGGGAAUCUUCCGGAAUGGGCGAAAGGCUGAAGGAGCAAAGCCGCGGGAGUGAUGAAGGUCUUCGGAUCGGAAAACUCUGUUAUUAGGGAAGAACAAAUGUGUAAGUAACUAUGCACGUCUUGACGGUACCUAAUCAGAAAGCCACGGCUAACUACGUG
rnacentral:rRNA from 1 species